GAUGAACGCUGGCGGCGUGCCUAAUACAUGCAAGUCGAGCGCGAGAGUGAGGAGCUUGCUCCUCAUAAUCGAGCGGCGGACGGGUGAGUAACACGUAGGCAACCUACCCUUGAGAUUGGGAUAACUACCGGAAACGGUAGCUAAUACCGGAUACGACUUUUCCACACAAGUGGAAUGGUUAAAAGGCGGAUUUAUCUGCCGCUCAUGGAUGGGCCUGCGGUGCAUUAGCUAGUUGGUGAGGUAGUGGCUCACCAAGGCGACGAUGCAUAGCCGACCUGAGAGGGUGAUCGGCCACACUGGGACUCAGACACGGCCCAGGCUCCUGAGGGAGGAAGCAGUAGGGAAUCUUCCGCAAUGGACGCAAGUCUGACGGAGCAACGCCGCGUGAGUGAUGAAGGGUUUCGGCUCGUAAAACUCUGUUGUUAAGGAAGAACACUUGAGGUAGUAACUGGCCUUGAGAUGACGGUACUUAACCAGAAAGCCACGGCUAACUACGUGCCAGCAGCCGCCGUAA
rnacentral:rRNA from 1 species